rnacentral:misc_RNA from 1 species
UAAAGUGCGAAAUGUAAUGCGAUUUGCAUGAAUCUGUGAGUCAUUUAAUCUUUGAACGCAACUUGCACCCAUAAUAGAAUAUGGGUAUGUUUGUUUGAGACGGCGAACCGUAUAGUGGGACAUAUGAUCCUUGAGUUGGCCAUGAAACUAAAGACUUGGCUCAAUAUUAGCAUGUUACUAUGCUUGGUGCAUUUGUCAGAGUUAGAGACAUUUGUCUUUUCGAAACAAAUCAACCAUUCCAUUGACUAGCCUAACCUAACCGUCUCAAAUCAAGCAAGAUUACCCGCUGAACUUAA